GUCAAGUAAAGUGUAACCAAAAAAUCUCAUGAUUUCCCCUUCUCAUUCAUUGCCAUGCCAUCAAAGUGCCUAAGGUCUACUCAGACAGUGGACAAGAAACACCAGACCCCCUGACAACUUGCCUGCUGUCUAACCAAUGCCAUCUGACUGACGUGUUACUCCACACACACACAAAUGUAGAUGAGAGGGGGAAAGAGAGAGUCAGUAGAGAGCAAAGUAGACGGAGGAAGGAAGGAAGGGCAGAAAUUUGGCCGGAAUACCCCACACCACAGAUGCCCCAGAGAACUCGUCUGUGCCAACGCUGCUCAAGAGGUCAAGUGGUGAAAAGAGGUGUUAAGAGCCUAAAGUGCUGCAGUUAAUCACCCAAUAAAAGACAGAUCAUGA